rnacentral:rRNA from 1 species
ACGCUGGCGGCGUGCUUAACACAUGCAAGUCGAACGAUGAAGCCUAGCUUGCUAGGUGGAUUAGUGGCGAACGGGUGAGUAAUACGUGAGUAACCUACCUUUAACUCUGGGAUAAGCCUGGGAAACUGGGUCUAAUACCGGAUACGACCAAUCUCCGCAUGGGGUGUUGGUGGAAAGCGUUAUGUAGUGGUUAUAGAUGGGCUCACGGCCUAUCAGCUUGUUGGUGAGGUAACGGCUCACCAAGGCGACGACGGGUAGCCGGCCUGAGAGGGUGACCGGCCACACUGGGACUGAGACACGGCCCAGACUCCUACGGGAGGCAGCAGUGGGGAAUAUUGCACAAUGGGCGCAAGCCUGAUGCAGCGACGCCGCGUGAGGGAUGACGGCCUUCGGGUUGUAAACCUCUGUUAGCAGGGAAGAAGAGAGAUUGACGGUACCUGCAGAGAAAGCGCCGGCUAACUACGUGCCAGCAGCCGCGGUAAUACGUAGGGCGCGAGCGUUGUCCGGAAUUAUUGGGCGUAAAGAGCUUGUAGGCGGUUUGUCGCGUCUGCUGUGAAAGGCCGGAGCUUAACUCCGUGUAUUGCAGUGGGUACGGGCAGACUAGAGUGCAGUAGGGGAGACUGGAAUUCCUGGUGUAGCGGUGGAAUGCGCAGAUAUCAGGAGGAACACCGAUGGCGAAGGCAGGUCUCUGGGCUGUAACUGACGCUGAGAAGCGAAAGCAUGGGGAGCGAACAGGAUUAGAUACCCUGGUAGUCCAUGCCGUAAACGUUGGGCACUAGGUGUGGGGGACAUUCCACGUUUUCCGCGCCGUAGCUAACGCAUUAAGUGCCCCGCCUGGGGAGUACGGCCGCAAGGCUAAAACUCAAAGAAAUUGACGGGGGCCCGCACAAGCGGCGGAGCAUGCGGAUU